UAAUACGUAGGGUGCGAGCGUUAAUCGGAAUUACUGGGCGUAAAGCGUGUGCAGGCGGUUUGUUAAGACAGGUGUGAAAUCCCCGGGCUUAACCUGGGAAUUGCGCUUGUUACUGGCAAGCUAGAGUGCGUCAGAGGGAGGUGGAAUUCCACGUGUAGCAGUGAAAUGCGUAGAGAUGUGGAGGAACACCGAUGGCGAAGGCAGCCUCCUGGGAUGACACUGACGCUCAUACACGAAAGCGUGGGGAGCAAACAGGAUUAGAUACCCUGGUAGUCCACGCCCUAAACGAUGUCAACUGGUUGUUGGGUGACUUGAUCACUUAGUAACGUAGCUAACGCGCGAAGUUGACCGCCUGGGGAGUACGGUCGCAAGAUUA
rnacentral:rRNA from 1 species